rnacentral:rRNA from 1 species
AGUGGCGCACGGGUGAGUAACGCGUGGGUAAUCUGCCUCCGAAUCGGGGAUAACAUUGCGAAAGCGAUGCUAAUACCGGAUAAAAUCUGGUUGGCUUAGGUGAACCGGAUCAAAGGUGGUCUCUUUAUAAAAGCUACCGUUUGGAGAUGAGCUCGCGUACCAUUAGCUAGUUGGUGAGGUAAAGGCUCACCAAGGCGACGAUGGUUAGCUGGUCUGAGAGGAUGAUCAGCCACACCGGAACUGGAACACGGUCCGGACUCCUACGGGAGGCAGCAGUGAGGAAUUUUGCGCAGUGGGGGAAACCCUGACGCAGCAACGCCGCGUGAGUGAUGAAGGCUUUCGGGUCGUAAAGCUCUGUCAGGUGGGAAGAACCCACCAAGUGUUAAGACCACUUGGUGCUGACGGUACCACCGAAGGAAGCACCGGCUAACUCCGUGCCAGCAGCCGCGGUAAUACGGGGGGUGCGAGCGUUAUUCGGAAUCAUUGGGCGUAAAGGGCGCGCAGGCGGUUUUGUAAGUCAGAUGUGAAAUCCCGGGGCUUAACCCCGGAAGUGCAUAUGAAACUAUGAGACUUGAGUAUGGGAGAGGGAAGCGGAAUUCCUGGUGUAGCGGUGAAAUGCGUAGAUAUCAGGAGGAACACCGGUGGCGAAUGCGGCUUCCUGGACCAAUACUGACGCUGAGGCGCGAAGGCGUGGGGAGCGAACAGGAUUAGAUACCCUGGUAGUUCAAGCAGUACACGGUGGAUACACUAGGUGUUUCGGGUAUUGACCCCUGUUGUGCCGGAGUAAACGCUUAAAGUGAUCCGACUGGGGAGUACGAUCGGAAGACUAAAGGUCAACGUGAUUUGACGGGGGCCUGACAAAGCGGUGGAGCAUGUGGUGGAAGGCGACGCAACGGGAAGAACCGGACCUGGACCGGACAUCUCGGGAAGUCCGGGGAAAGACGGGAGUGCCGGUAACGAGGAAUCCGAUGACAGGUGCUGCAAGGCCGUCGGCAGCUCGUGUCGCGAGAAGGUGGGGUAAGUCCCGCAACGAGCGCAACCCCGAUCGUCAGGAGCCAUCAGGUGAUGCUGGGGACUUUGGAGAGACUGCCCCGGUUAACGGGGAGGAAGGUGGGGAUGACGUCAAGUCCUCAUGGCACGUUAUGUGCCAGGGCUACACACGUGCGACAAUGGUAUGUACAAAGGGAAGCGAUCCCGCGAGGAGGAGCUAAUCCCAAAAAGCAUAUCAAAGUUCGGAUCGGAGUCUGCAACUCGACUCCGUGAAGUUGGAAUCGCUAGUAAUCGCGGAUCAGCAUGCUGCGGUGAUACGUUCCCGGGCCUUGUACACACCGCCCGUCACACCAUGAGAGUUGGCUGUACCAGAAG